UUUUUUUUUUUUGUUUCUUAACAAAACAGAAAAUGCAGUAGCAGCUGGGCCAUAGGUGGAGCGGCGCAAGGCGGCAUUUGUUGUGUGUUUUUUGCGCGCAUCUAUUACGUCUGGAAUGUGAGGAGUCUUGACAUGCCGCCGCUAAUGUGAUGUAAUCCAUCAGCUCACAUUUUUGACGCUCCGUCUCUGAGACACUAUGACUUGGCAUCUAAUGCGUCUUAAUUGUCAUUAUUUAUUUGCAAUUUAUUCAAAUUCUCAUUGCUGUGUCUUUGUUUUGGAACUUCGCCGAUGAUGAUGAUGAGAAUAUGACAGUGGCAAUUGCGAUGGGAGAACAAGAAAAUAAAUACAUGAAUGAAUGAC